rnacentral:rRNA from 1 species
UACGUAGGGUGCAAGCGUUAAUCGGAAUUACUGGGCGUAAAGCGUGCGCAGGCGGUUUUGUAAGUCUGUCGUGAAAGCCCCGGGCUCAACCUGGGAAUUGCGAUGGAGACUGCAAGGCUUGAAUCUGGCAGAGGGGGGGUAGGAUUCCACGUGUAGCAGUGAAAUGCGUAGAGAUGUGGAGGAACACCGAUGGCGAAGGCAGCCCCCUGGGUCAAGAUUGACGCUCAUGCACGAAAGCGUGGGGAGCAAACAGG